rnacentral:rRNA from 1 species
CAGCAGCCGCGGUAAUACAGAGGGUGCGAGCGUUAAUCGGAUUUACUGGGCGUAAAGCGUGCGUAGGCGGCUUUUUAAGUCGGAUGUGAAAUCCCUGAGCUUAACUUAGGAAUUGCAUUCGAUACUGGUUAGCUAGAGUGUGGGAGAGGAUGGUAGAAUUCCAGGUGUAGCGGUGAAAUGCGUAGAGAUCUGGAGGAAUACCGAUGGCGAAGGCAGCCAUCUGGCCUAACACUGACGCUGAGGUACGAAAGCAUGGGGAGCAAACAGGAUUAGAUACCCGUGUAGUCCCUGUCUCUUAUAC